AGAACGAACGCUGGCGGCAGGCUUAACACAUGCAAGUCGAACGCGUGUAGCAAUACACGAGUGGCGCACGGGUGAGUAACGCGUGGAUAUCUGCCUUUUGGUUCGGAAUAACCCCGGGAAACUGGGGCUAAUACCGGAUGGUUCCUUCGGGAUAAAGAUUUAUCGCCAAAAAGAUGAGUCCGCGUACGAUUAGCUAGUUGGUGAGGUAAUGGCUCACCAAGGCGACGAUCGUUAGCUGGUCUGAGAGGACGAUCAGCCACACUGGGACUGAGACACGGCCCAGACUCCUACGGGAGGCAGCAGUGGGGAAUAUUGGACAAUGGGGGCAACCCUGAUCCAGCCAUGCCGCGUGAGUGAUGAAGGCCUUCGGGUUGUAAAGCUCUUUUGGCGGGACGAUGAUGACGGUACCGCAGAAUAAGCCCCGGCUAACUUCGCGCCAGCAGCCGC
rnacentral:rRNA from 1 species